rnacentral:rRNA from 1 species
GAUGAACGCUGGCGGCGUGCUUAACACAUGCAAGUCGAACGAAGCACUUUAACCUGAUUCUUCGGAUGAAGGUUUUUGUGACUGAGUGGCGGACGGGUGAGUAACGCGUGGGUAACCUGCCUCAUACAGGGGGAUAACAGUUAGAAAUGACUGCUAAUACCGCAUAAGACCACAGAGCCGCAUGGCUCGGUGGGAAAAACUCCGGUGGUAUGAGAUGGACCCGCGUCUGAUUAGGUAGUUGGUGGGGUAACGGCCUACCAAGCCAACGAUCAGUAGCCGACCUGAGAGGGUGACCGGCCACAUUGGGACUGAGACACGGCCCAAACUCCUACGGGAGGCAGCAGUGGGGAAUAUUGCACAAUGGGGGAAACCCUGAUGCAGCGACGCCGCGUGAGCGAAGAAGUAUUUCGGUAUGUAAAGCUCUAUCAGCAGGGAAGAAAAUGACGGUACCUGAAUAAGAAGCACCGGCUAAAUACGUG